rnacentral:tRNA from 1 species
GGAGGUUUAGCUUAGCGGCAUAAGCGCCUGCCUUGAGAGCAGGCAAUCGCGAGUUCAAUCCCCG